ensembl:misc_RNA Metazoa_SRP Metazoan signal recognition particle RNA
GCCAGGCAUGGUGGCGCAUGCCUGUAAUCCCAGCUACUCAGGAGGCUGAGGCACAAGAUUCGCUUGAAUCCAGGAGGCGGAGGUUGUAGUUAGUGAGAUAGCACCACUGCACUCCAGCCUGGGUGACAGAGCGAGACUCUGUCUCAA